rnacentral:rRNA from 1 species
GGGUAACCUGCCUCAUACACAUGGAUAACAUACCGAAAGGUAUGCUAAUACAAGAUGACAUAAGAGAUUCGCAUGGAUUUCUUAUCAAAGCUUUUGCGGUAUGAGAUGGACCCGCGUCUGAUUAGCUAGUUGGUAAGGUAAUGGCUUACCAAGGCGACGAUCAGUAGCCGACCUGAGAGGGUGAUCGGCCACAUUGGAACUGAGACACGGUCCAAACUCCUACGGGAGGCAGCAUG